AUGUCGACGUUCGCCGGCGUAUCCGUCCUCGACGGCGACAAGCCGUGCUCUUGCGUAACGUCGGGCGCCGGCGCCGGUGCUGGCGCCAACAGCGUGUACCACCUGCUCGUGGUCAAGGGCUACUCGGGUAUCAAAAAGGAGUUGCCCAACGGCGAGAGCUGGUGCACUGAUUUGUUCAGGGUGGGAGGCCAUGAGUAUUCCAUCGAGUACUAUCCUAACGGCGCAAACCCCAACUGUGCCGACUUCAUUUCGCUCGAUAUUACCCGUUUGUACGACGAAGAUGUCGAAGAGGGUGUGGAGGCCAAGUUCAGUUUCAGUCUCGUCGACGACGUCGAGAAGCAGAUGCCGACGUACAUUCGCGCGACUCGUAAAACCCGUGACUUCCGCAGAUGUGAUCCCUGUUGGGGUUGCGACAAGUUCAUGAGAAGAGAUGCCCUUGAACGAUCAGCCAGUCUAAAGUCUGAUUGUUUCACCAUCCGGUGUGAUAUUGUGGUGUGCAAGGACAACACCCCAGAUGCCACCGGCUCCGGCACCGGCGCCGAGGUUCUCCUGCCCGACAUACACCAACAUUUUAGCAACCUCCUUCAGAAUAAGGUGGGUGCUGAUGUGACAUUCGAGGUCGGCGGCGAGCACACCGACUCGUGUCCUGAGAUGGAGAAGAACAGCAUGGAGGAUGAUGAAAUGCCAGGAGUUGCGGAACAAGGACAAGUAGAGGAAGUACUGGAGGAUAAAACGUCAGAAGUUGUGGAACAAACACAAGAAGAGGCGGUAGAGGAUGAAAUUCUUCUGCAAUGGCUGCAGGACUUGUUUGUGGCGGCAGACAGAUACAAUCUCCAGCGGCUCAAGUUCAUCUGUGAAAAGCAGUUGUGUGAGCAUGUAGGUGUGAGCUCGGUGGCGUCCACUCUUGCUCUAGCCGAGCAGCACCACUGCCAUGGAUUGAAGGCGGCGUGCUUGAAGUUUAUCCAAGUCCUAUCUCCCUCGCGUUUGCAGACACUAAUGGCAACUGAUGGAUGGGGGCAUAUAGCAACGACAUACCCCUCGGUUUUGUACGAGCUCAUUGCCAUCCUUGCGUCAAACCAGCGGAAAUGA
rnacentral:rRNA from 1 species